AUUGAACGCUGGCGGCAGGCCUAACACAUGCAAGUCGAACGGUAACAGGAAGCAGCUUGCUGCUUUGCUGACGAGUGGCGGACGGGUGAGUAAUGUCUGGGAAACUGCCUGAUGGAGGGGGAUAACUACUGGAAACGGUAGCUAAUACCGCAUAACGUCGCAAGACCAAAGGGGGGGACCUUCGGGCCUCUUGCCAUCGGCUGUGCCCAGAUGGGAUUAGCUAGUAGGUGGGGUAACGGCUCACCUAGGCGACGAUCCCUAGCUGGUCUGAGAGGAUGACCAGCCACACUGGAACUGAGACACGGUCCAGACUCCUACGGGAGGCAGCAGUGGGGAAUAUUGCACAAUGGGCGCAAGCCUGAUGCAGCCAUGCCGCGUGUAUGAAGAAGGCCUUCGGGUUGUAAAGUACUUUCAGCGGGGAGGAAGGGAGUAAAGUUAAUACCUUUGCUCAUUGACGUUACCCGCAGAAGAAGCACCGGCUAACUCCGUG
rnacentral:rRNA from 1 species